CUCUCUGUAGCUCAGUUGGUUAGAGCGCUGCACCGGAAGGAACCGUAGGUUUGAUUCCUGCCAGAGGGC